GCCCGGCCCAGGAAAGAGCAAAGGCCUCUGGUCCGGGAGCCAAUCAGGGCCGGAGAUCCCACGGACCGAGCGGAACAGCUGCUGACCUGGCAGGCGCUGUGCCACUGAGCUAAACCCCCAGCCCUGGUGGCUCUUGGAGGAAUGGUGCCACUGCAGACACUGGGCGCAGCCUCCCGGAGGGCGGCUGGAGCAGAGGAGCACAGGUCCUCGAUGGACGCUGGUGCAGUGUCCCCAGCCGGCACCGUGUGAAACCUUACAGAAGGUGGAAGUCACGGCCCGCAGACAUGACCCUGCCUGUUCUGGAAUGUUCUGUUCACUAAAGGCGCUGGGGCCUCUGGGCCCCAGAGGUCGCAUGUAUGGCACUCAGGUGCCAGAGACCAGGGAGGAGCAGGUGCUGCGGCUCACGUGGCUUAGCUUCCCCCUCCCGACUUCAGCACCCUGCUCAUUUUUGACUUUGGUGUUUGUCGGUCCACGUUGGCAGCCCGUAAUGAUUCCGCGCCUUGUCGGGAGCUGCUUCACGUCCAUACCAUCUCCACUCUUCAAGGCCCCUUUGUCCGCUAGUUUCGUGUGCUGAAUCAUCUAACUGAGAUGUUUUUGGUUGUUGGUGGCAUGCCUUCUUUCUAAAUCAAGGUUUUACUGUCACUUAACGUCUUCGCGGGGGCAGUAUUGGAGAUGGACCCAGGGUGCUCUGGCACUGAGCUACGUCCCCAGCACUUUUCAUUUGUUAUUUUGAGAAGGGAUCUCAUGGGGUUUCCCAGGCCGGCCUCGAGGCUGUGAUCUUCCUGGCUCAGGGCCCCAAGAAGCUGGGAUUAUAGGCGGGUCCCGCCGUGUCUGGCAAGGGAGGUCUUUUAAUGGAACAAUUGAUUUUCUUCAUGUCAUAAAAAUAAAGAGUUUUUUCAUCUUA